GUUGCCCCCUUACUAACAUUCAGUGGGGGUGUUUUGGUUGGCUAGCUCCCAGUACUAAAAGGGGAAGGGUCUAUGGGAAACCAGGACCCUGAGACUGAUAGUCCUCAGGAACAAUUGGGAGAGGCAAUGCUCCAGGUCAGCCUGAAUGACAGGGCGGGCAGGCUAAUCAGGGAGUCAGGAGGCCAGGGCGGUCCCAUCCUUCGUGUGAGCUGGCAGCUGGCUGAACCAGAGG